CACGUAGGGUGCGAGCGUUGUCCGGAAUUAUUGGGCGUAAAGAGCUCGUAGGCGGUGUGUCGCGUCGGACGUGAAAACUUGGGGCUUAACUCUGAGCGUGCGGUCGAUACGGGCAUCACUUGAGUUCGGCAGGGGAGACUGGAAUUCCUGGUGUAGCGGUGAAAUGCGCAGAUAUCAGGAGGAACACCGAUGGCGAAGGCAGUUCUCUGGGCCGUAACUGACGCUGAGGAGCGAAAGCGUGGGGAGCGAACAGG
rnacentral:rRNA from 1 species